AUCCUACACAGAGAGUAAUAAGUUUGACCGUGAAGUCUCGACUGAGUCAACUUUUUUGCUGAUUGAAAACUAUUUCCUUACAUCUUCGUGGUCUCGCAAGAGGCGACGGGAAUUUUUGAAACCCCCUCUCUCACUCUGUUGAGA
rfam:Rhizoclosmatium globosum strain JEL800 BCR33scaffold_20, whole genome shotgun sequence.